rnacentral:rRNA from 1 species
GGGGCAGCGGGGAGUGAGGCUUGCCUUACUCUGCCGGCGACCGGCGCACGGGUGAGUAACACGUAUGCAACCUACCCUUUACAGCGGGAUAACCGGAAGAAAUUUCGCCUAAUACCGCAUAUACUCCUUGGGAGGCAUCUUCCGAGGGGGAAAGAAUUUCGGUGAAGGAUGGGCAUGCGUCGCAUUAGUUAGUUGGCGGUGUAACGGACCACCAAGACGACGAUGCGUAGGGGUUCUGAGAGGAAGGUCCCCCACACUGGUACUGAGACACGGACCAGACUCCUACGGGAGGCAGCAGUGAGGAAUAUUGGUCAAUGGCCGAGAGGCUGAACCAGCCAAGUCGCGUGAGGGAAGAAUGUCCUAUGGAUUGUAAACCUCUUUUGUCAGGGAGCAAAGUCACCCACGUGUGGGUGUUGGAGAGUACCUGAAGAAAAAGCAUCGGCUAACUCCGUGCCAGCAGCCGCGGUAAUACGGAGGAUGCGAGCGUUAUCCGGAUUUAUUGGGUUUAAAGGGUGCGUAGGCGGGUUAUCAAGUCAGCGGUAAAAUCGUGGAGCUCAACUCCAUCCAGCCGUUGAAACUGAUGAUCUUGAGUGGGCGAGAAGUAUGCGGAAUGCGUGGUGUAGCGGUGAAAUGCAUAGAUAUCACGCAGAACUCCGAUUGCGAAGGCAGCAUACCGGCGCCCGACUGACGCUGAAGCACGAAAGCGUGGGUAUCGAACAGGAUUAGAUACCCUGGUAGUCCACGCAGUAAACGAUGAAUACUAAUUGUGUGCUCCGAAUGAGGAGUGCGUGAUACAGCGAAAGCGUUAAGUAUUCCACCUGGGGAGUACGCCGGCAACGGUGAAACUCAAAGGAAUUGACGGGGGCCCGCACAAGCGGAGGAACAUGUGGUUUAAUUCGAUGAUACGCGAGGAACCUUACCCGGGCUCAAACGCAGGAGGGAUGUUUUUGAAAGGAGGCAGCUCUACGGAGUCUCCUGCGAGGUGCUGCAUGGUUGUCGUCAGCUCGUGCCGUGAGGUGUCGGCUUAAGUGCCAUAACGAGCGCAACCCCUACCGCCAGUUGCCAACGGGUAAAGCCGGGAACUCUGGCGGGACUGCCGGCGCAAGCUGUGAGGAGGGCGGGGAUGACGUCAAAUCAGCACGGCCCUUACGUCCGGGGCGACACACGUGUUACAAUGGCAGGUACAGCGGGAAGCCACUUGGCGACAAGGCGCGGAACCCGAAAACCUGUCUCAGUUCGGAUUGGAGUCUGCAACCCGACUCCAUGAAGCUGGAUUCGCUAGUAAUC